rnacentral:lncRNA from 1 species
UCACAUGGCAUGGUAUUAAGCAAAAGGCGUAGAAUAAUCAAACACCAUGUCAUUCGUUAACCCAAUAAUAAGCUCCUGCGGGACAGUUCGACAAUAGGUCCCCAAAUUCUAGAAUUAGCACAAUCGGAUGCCUCGAGUUAUCUAAAACAUGGAUGAUCAGGUUCACAAGGGCUAAUCCCACAGAAGGAAGCAAACCACAACUCCCCCAACUGGGAACCAACAUCCAACUCCAAAUAAGAGCCGGAAAGUACCACACCAGCCACAAAAUCGGAUGCCAUGAGCAUCUAAAACAACAUGGAUGAUCAGGUCCAGAAGGGGUAAUCUCACAAAAGGAAACACAUAAAACCACAACUCCCCCAACUGGGAACCAACAUCCAACACCAAACAAGAGCAGGAAAGUACCACACCACGACCAGCCCUACACGCACAAGCACAAAAUCACCCGGAUCCAGCGCCAACCCCACAUACCUUCCAGAAAACCAAGCGCAACAAUAGUCGUUCAUUGAACCAAACAAUUUCUGAUUAGUGAUGAAGGAGGUUUCAUACUUGGCCAUGGGGGAGUCGUCAGAGGUAUGGAAAUUUCCACGGAAUAGUUACAACAAUGUAGAUAUGUAGUGACUAGAGACUACAGCAUACUUUGGGGAUAAGUCGUGAUUUCCAAGGUCAAGUCUACCACCAAAUAAUUCAACCUCACAUGGCAUGGUAUUAAGCAAAAGGCGUAGAAUAAUCAAACACCAUGUCAUUCGUUAACCCAAUAAUAAGCUCCUGCGGGACAGUUCGACAAUAGGUCCCCAAAUUCUAGAAUUAGCACAAUCGGAUGCCUCGAGUUAUCUAAAACAUGGAUGAUCAGGUUCACAAGGGCUAAUCCCACAGAAGGAAGCAAACCACAACUCCCCCAACUGGGAACCAACAUCCAACUCCAAAUAAGAGCCGGAAAGUACCACACCAGCCACAAAAUCGGAUGCCAUGAGCAUCUAAAACAACAUGGAUGAUCAGGUCCAGAAGGGGUAAUCUCACAAAAGGAAACACAUAAAACCACAACUCCCCCAACUGGGAACCAACAUCCAACACCAAACAAGAGCAGGAAAGUACCACACCACGACCAGCCCUACACGCACAAGCACAAAAUCACCCGGAUCCAGCGCCAACCCCACAUACCUUCCAGAAAACCAAGCGCAACAAUAGUCGUUCAUUGAACCAAACAAUUUCUGAUUAGU